rnacentral:rRNA from 1 species
UACGUAGGGGGCAAGCGUUGUCCGGAUUUAUUGGGCGUAAAGAGCGUGUAGGCGGCCAGGUAGGUCUGCUGUGAAAACUCGAGGCUCAACCUCGAGAUGUCGGCGGAAACCAUCUGGCUAGAGUCCGGAAGAGGAGAGUGGAAUUCCCGGUGUAGCGGUGAAAUGCGCAGAUAUCGGGAAGAACACCCGUGGCGAAGGCGGCUCUCUGGGACGGUACUGACGCUGAGACGCGAAAGCGUGGGGAGCGAACAGG